CCUACGGGAGGCAGCAGUGGGGAAUCUUGCGCAAUGGGCGAAAGCCUGACGCAGCCAUGCCGCGUGGAUGAUGAAGGUCUUAGGAUUGUAAAAUCCUUUCACCGGGGACGAUAAUGACGGUACCCGGAGAAGAAGCCCCGGCUAACUUCGUGCCAGCAGCCGCGGUAAUACGAAGGGGGCUAGCGUUGCUCGGAAUUACUGGGCGUAAAGGGCGCGUAGGCGGACAUUUAAGUCGGGGGUGAAAUCCCAGGGCUCAACCCUGGAACUGCCUUCGAUACUGGAUGUCUUGAGUGCGGGAGAGGUGUGUGGAACUCCGAGUGUAGAGGUGAAAUUCGUAGAUAUUCGGAAGAACACCAGUGGCGAAGGCGACACACUGGCCCGUUACUGACGCUGAGGCGCGAAAGCGUGGGGAGCAAACAGGAUUAGAUACCCUGGUAGUCCACGCCGUAAACGAUGAUUGCUAGUUGUCGGAGUGCAUGCACUUCGGUGACGCAGCUAACGCAUUAAGCAAUCUGCCUGGGGAGUACGGUCGCAAGAUUAAAACUCAAAUGAAUUGACGG
rnacentral:rRNA from 1 species